AGAGAGAGAGAGAGAGAGAGAAGGUGAGAGAAGCAGUGAGCAUACUCAAAGAAGAAAAAUGAGAUCUACAAAAGAGAGAGACGGUGGCCGGCUGCAUGCAGUUCCAGGGGGUUCUUCCCUUUCUUUUGCUUGCUCUUACUAGUUUUGGUUGUGAUCUAAUAGGGUUGUUGAAAUGCAAGAAAUCCUUGAUCAACAACUUGCUGAGGCCGAGAGUGUUGGUGCACUGGCAUCAAUUGCAAAUCCUCGUAGAACUGCCAAAUUGGAGAAGAGCUCGGAGAUAUUUAUGACUAUGUCACCCCUUGUUUUCCUCCAA